UGAGGAAUUUUCCGCAAUGGACGAAAGCCUGACGGAGCAAUGCCGCGUGGAGGAUGAAGGCCCGUGGGUCGUAAACUCCUUUUCUCAGAGAAGAAUUUUUGACGGUAUCUGAGGAAUAAGCAUCGGCUAACUCUGUGCCAGCAGCCGCGGUAAUACAGAGGAUGCAAGCGUUAUCCGGAAUGAUUGGGCGUAAAGCGUUUGUAGGUGGUUUAUUAAGUCUUCUGUCAAAGCUCAGGGCUUAACCCUGUUUAGGCAGUAGAAACUAAUAGGCUAGAGUACGGUAGGGGCAGAGGGAAUUCCCGGUGUAGCGGUGAAAUGCGCAGAUAUCGGGAAGAACACCGAUGGCGAAAGCACUCUGCUGGGCCGAAACUGACACUGAGAGACGAAAGCUAGGGGAGCGAAUGG
rnacentral:rRNA from 1 species